ACUAGUAUCAUGCCAAACUAUGUUUUUUUCCAUGAAUUUGUCAGCAGCAAUUCUACAUUAAUAAUAUUAUUAAGGGGAUUACAUUAAAUAAAUAAAAGGGAUUAAUUUUCACUUUGUUCCCUCCUUGCCUGUAUAAGAGAUUUCUUUGUUAAUGUGGUUAUUUGUUGUAUAUUUGUUCUUUGCAGUAAAAUUUAAAAAAAUGAAGAUUUUUUAGCUAGGAUGUAUCUGUUGAGUCUCUUUCAAACCAAGGUGCCUCGAAUUCUUUAUUUCAAAAGUCUUUGAGCUGAGAUCAUCAUCUCACUCUAAGAAACGCUUACCAUUUACUCUCCACUUCUUUGUUGUUAUUUUAAGAAUCUUGUGUUAUUUUAAAAUAACACAUAAGACCAUGUGUUAUUUUAAGAAUCUUGACUUCCAUCAGUGCUGCUCUACUGUUAUUGGUGCCAUGUCCAGUAUGGCCUAUCUCAUUGUAUCCGAUUGUCUUGUGUAUGCCACACAGCCACCUAUAUACUGGGAUUUGAGAAAGGCUUGGAAAAAUCUUUCCAUAAGAUUCUUCUACCUCUCUUGUAGCAGUGAUAUCCCUACUGGCCUCCCAGGUCUUAAGGUAGGGGAGGGUCUUUUCCUAAGGAGAAACUUUGGAGGUAUGUGUCCUUGGUAUGUAUGUAGUUAUCAAGAUUUCAACUAUUAAGAGCUGAGGACCCCAGGGGUGUUUUUGAUAGUUAUGAUUUCCCUAACUUGAAGAAACAUGGGUAUGGUUCCCAUAGUGAUGGCUGCGGGAUAAGCAAGUGAGUGGCUUUAUCGCUUUUGGAGAUGUCACACCUGGUGUGGCUGUCUAAGGAGCAAGGAUGCCUGUAAGUCUAUAACUUCUCUCCUUUCUAUGUCUUUUACAUCUCUUUGGUUCCUCAGAGUACUUCGUAUAUAUAGUGGCUACUCAGUUAUUUGUCAAACUUAGUGCAAAGGUGUUCUAUCUAUAGUCAUUUACUUGGAGAGCAGAAUUGAAUUUAAUUGUCAGAAUUAGCAUUAUUUCUUGUCUCUCCUCAGCAGUUCUCUGUCCCAACUAAGAUGAGGCUGUGGUUGGACUGGAAAUCACUCCAAGAUCCUUUUCCUAUCUGCCUUUCUAUUAUACUAUAAAUGGGGGAGCUAUGGAAAAGAUUAGUUUAGAAGAGUUGGAAGGUUAUUUAAUUAGCUAUCAUUUAAUAUAGCUAUCUGUUCUAAUUGAAGUCUUUCUUCCAAUAUCCACACUCAGUGGGCUUAUAAGCUUUCCUGGAACAGUAUCUUAAAGGAUGGUAAAUACACUUUGUGGUAGCUCUGAUUUUUAGAUAACUUUUAUUUACAUUCAGCUGAAAUUUACAUUCUGACUUCUUCCCACAGUGAUAAAAUAGAAAAAAAUUAAAAUUCUUACUUUAUUCAAGAACCUUCUAUAUAGUUAACCAUUGUUUCUAUCUCAACUCUUCUCCCAGUCUUGAACCAUUCCUAGUAAAAUAUGGCUCAUCACCACCAUUCUGACUGCUUUUCCCUUAUGUGCUCUAGUAUAUUCUUCUUUAAAUGGUGUUCAGAGCUGAAUAUAGUGGUCUAUAGUGAUAUAGCCAGCAACAGUAGAGUUUGGGAUCAUCUUUCCCCCUUGGUUUAAGUACUGUACUGCUAUUUAUUUAGCCCCAGAAUCAAUUAGAUCUCCUUAAUAGUUAUAUUUUACCACUUACUGAAUUUUUUUCAAUAAAACCACUGUCUUUUUCAUAUUUGCUUAAUUAUAUGGUUCUCCUCACUACUUGUACAAUGGUUUGUGUUUAUUUUUAACACAAUUUUAGACCCUAACUUUAUUUCCCUUAAGCUGUCAUCUUGUUAGAGUUGGCUUAGUUGUUCCAGUCUUUCUGCAACUUGCUUCUGUCAUCCAAUAUAUUUAUUAAACUUUUGCCAUGUAACUGUGAUAAAACGUAUCUUUAAUGUAUUAACCAGAUAACUGAUUUAAAAAAUUAAACAAUCCCAAACCCUAUCUGUGUCAGGGGUCCCCAAAUCUACCCCCAUGUUUGGUGAUUUGUUGGAGGGACUCAUAAGAUUUCACAUAUAGUCUUACUCAUCACUAAGAUUUAUUACAGCAAAAUGAUACAAAGCAAAAUUAGCAAAGGGACCAGGUGCAAGCUUUUAAGAACCCUCUCCUAAGUGGAGUCACACAGGAUGUACUUAAUCCCUCCAGAAACAAGUUGUGAGAAUUCCCUAAGUGUUGUCAACCAGAGAAGCUCAUUAGAGACUCAGUGCCCAAAGUUUUUAUUAGAGGCUGGUAAUGUAGGUACCCUCUGCCUAGCACCUACCAAAAUUCCAGUCUCCCAGGAGGAAAACAGGUGUUUAGCAUAAUCCACAUUGUUUACACAAAAUUCUAGGCACAGUGAGUCACUCUACUCUUAUCAUUUAGGGGAAAUUUUAUAUCAGUGUAUUUAACUAUUUAUCAGCCAAGUUCUCAAAAGCCAGCCAGGAACCAACCUUGCAAGCAGGACUUUCUAAGGAUAGGCAGUCUCAGACCUGGUAUGUUAACUCCUUUCUGCAACAUUAAGUUAUGUUGGUAUUUACUAGAAUAUAUGUAAAGUAUAAAUAUUUUAGGAUAUUGGUGGAAUACAACUUCGUAUAUUACAUGAAGAAGAAUCAUUCACUUCUCUGUUUUUAUGCUCAAAGAAAUAACUUUGAAAAGGGGGCCCUUUUUGAUGAGAUUAGAGCUUUUAUUUUUAUAGCAACAGACCUUUUGUGUGUAAUAUACCUUACCGUACCACUUGUCUUGAUGUCUUCUUACCAGUAGUUUUAGUUAUAUAAUUUUGGUAAGAACGUUCAACAACAUUUGCCUUUCCUUUUUCCUCUUCAUCACUAAUUGCAAAGUAUUUACUCAUUUUCUAGGUUCCUGACUUCUAAAUGGCUAAAUUCAAAAGAUGCCAUACAAUAUUUAGAAACUAGUUUCCCUCUAAUUUUUAUUUUUAUUUUAAUCUUAUUUAUGAUUGUUUAGGGUUAAGAAGAGAAUUUUAAAAAUUGGAAAAAAAAUUAAAUUUCAAGAAUUAUAAUGUCUUACGUUGUAGAAAGAUGCUGCUUAUUUUACAUUACCAGGAAAUUGAUGGGAAUUCAGGAAACUUUUUUCACCUUUUAAGAAGUAGGCACUUAAUUUGAUGUAAUCCAAAUGGAUGUUUUGUACUUGAAGAAGGCAAAGAAAUUGAGCCUCAGAAUUUAAAUAUCUUGGUCAUCAUAUAUCUGCUAAGUGGGAGAGUAUACGGAAUUUGAAUCCAAUUUUUUCCUGACACCAAAACCAUGUCCUUUCCAUUCUGAUACCUGCUGCCUCCCAUUUCUCCAUUAUAUUUGUAUUGGAGAAAAACAGCUGUGACUUAUAACAACCUCCCCUAAAUUGCAAUGUCAGGUAAGUACUGCUGCUUUGAUUUAUUGUCCUAGACAAUGGGCUCAAAUCUUUGUGUGUGUGUAUAAUUGAAUGUGAGUACAUUGGUUGAAAAGGGAAAUUACUUUGGUUACAAAAUACCAGAAAGUUUCAUAUUGUUGCCUGUAUCAUUCUAGCAAUAAAAUUACUGCUUUCUAGUAAAUCAGGUCUUCUCUCUGAUGUGAAUUAAUCCUUCUACACCACUAAAACUAAUCCAGCAUUUGUCAGAAGUAUAAGCUGUGAACACUUUACGUAAGAUUUACUGGUAAUGCUUAUUAGAAUUGUGGCUCCAGAAACCGCCAAAGAUCCACUAAAUCAGAAUAUCUUGGAUGUGGGUCUCUGGAACCUGAAUUUUUGACAAACCCUGCAGGUGAUUUCUCUGCAAUCAACUAAAAACUUUUCUGGUAUCCCCUUUAAAGCCUAGGGGAGCCAGGUAUUGAAGAAUCGAGCUGCCUAGAAAGGGAGGAGGGGAAACACACUUGUAGUUCUACAAUGGCAGAGUUCUCUUUGGUACUACGAAAACUUCAGCUUGUGUGUUUCAUUAUUUCUUGACUUUGGCUGUAUGAUCUAGUUCUCUCUGUAGUCAUAACGCACCUUGAUUGUCUUAGCACUUGCAUAGGCCACUACUGCAUUUGACAUGUACCUACAGCAUAACUUCAUCUCACAGAGUAGAUACCAUUUUACGUAUUGAUUCAUCUUAUUCUCACUUCUCUAUCAUCAACUCAAAACUGGCUCUUUCAGAGCUUAAAUCAGACACUCAUUCUUGUCUCUCAAAACUUAGGUCAAAAAAUUGAAUCCCACAUUUUGUGCUGGUUUGGUUGUAUUAUGUCCCCCAAAAUAUCAUGUUCUUCAGUGCAGUCUUGUGGGGGCACUCAUGUUAGUGUUGAUUAGGUUGGACUCCUUUGAUUAUUUCCAU